ACGAACGCUGGCGGCGUGCCUCAUACAUGCAAGUAGAACGCUGAAGGCGGAGCUUGCUUCUCUGGAUGAGUUGCGAACGGGUGAGUAACGCGUAGGUAACCUGCCUGGUAGCGGGGGAUAACUAUUGGAAACGAUAGCUAAUACCGCAUAAUAGUAGAUGUUGCAUGACAUUUGCUUAAAAGGUGCAAUUGCAUCACUACCAGAUGGACCUGCGUUGUAUUAGCUAGUUGGUGGGGUAACGGCUCACCAAGGCGACGAUACAUAGCCGACCUGAGAGGGUGAUCGGCCACACUGGGACUGAGACACGGCCCAGACUCCUACGGGAGGCAGCAGUAGGGAAUCUUCGGCAAUGGACGGAAGUCUGACCGAGCAACGCCGCGUGAGUGAAGAAGGUUUUCGGAUCGUAAAGCUCUGUUGUAAGAGAAGAACGAGUGUGAGAGUGGAAAGUUCACACUGUGACGGUAUCUUACCAGAAAGGGACGGCUAACUACGUG
rnacentral:rRNA from 1 species